rnacentral:snRNA from 1 species
AUACUUACCUGGUGCCGGGGCCUCGUUGAUCCCGAAGACGAGGCCCCAGAGCCGACCGCGGGCAUUGCAGUGCGCUUGAGUUGACCCCUGCCACUGCCCCUAGCUGGGCAGAUGGGGGGUGCAAAUUGCUUAAAGAGAGGGCGCAAGAGAGGGCGCCACCGCGUC